GGGGAGAUAGCUCAGUGGUAGAGCGCCCCCUGCCAAAUAAUCAGGAUGAACCGUGGCUUAGGCCUGGAUAAGUUACUUCUUUUGAUGAUACACUGUUCGGGGACCGGGCCAUGGCCUGUGCUGGUGGGUCGGAUGCCGUAGGUUCAAUUCCUACUCUCUCCA
rfam:Smittium culicis strain GSMNP scaffold-3145, whole genome shotgun sequence.